CUAACAACAACAAAGUUGCCAAGAAAAAAGGCGGGUCAGAUUCGGAAUUGAUUUUAACUGCAACCACAAUGGGAGUGAGUCUGAGUGGGUGGACACAACCACCAAGUGGUGUAGAUGGAGAGAUGUGGAUGACGGCAAAGACGUCGGUUGACACGUUGCCCCCUUCUUUGUGGCAAUAUAGAGAGAGAGGGAGAGUCACACAAGCAGCAGCUGCAGCGGCACACGAACCCGCACGGUUGUAGUGAGUGAAACGGACUGAAGAAGAAGAGACCUACACACCAAGAAGCUUUAAGAAAAGCUCGCAAAAAAAGCUACGACAGAGAGAGUGAGAGAUAAAUUGUAUGAUGAGAGUGAAACUGAGAGAGCAAGCAACAAUGUCAAGUGGGUUGGUUUAUUGUAGUUGGGUGGCGGGUGAAUUGUUUUUUUGCAAGUGAUAAAACUAAAUAUAUGUAGAUCCCAAAAAGAAUGUCAAAUGAUAAUGACAUUCCUAUCUCGCACAA